ensembl:lncRNA
UAAUUAACACAAGAGUCUCAUGACAGAAAUUGUUCUCAAUUCGGAGUUGAGAAAACUGAAUACAAGGUUUAAGGAAUUUGCCAAAAUCACAUAGUUAUGAGAGUCAUGAUUGUACACCCAACUCACAUAGUGCCUGAUACAUAAUAAAUGUUUGGUAAAUAGUUGUUCUAAAAUCUGUUUUUCUUUCAAUUAUUUGCUCUUUUCACUACCAAGUGUUUCCUCCCCAAUAGACGUGUUUAAGAGCAAAAACAAUGCUUUGAGAUGUUUUCGUGAAUGCACGAUGACUUUCAUGUUUGAUACACAUUAUAGACAUUCAUUUAAUUAUAUUUAUGUACUUUUUUUAUAGACACACAAUGGAGAAGUUAAAUAGUAAUUUGAAACCAAAACUCGGGAUGUCCCAGAGAGGCUAGAUUAGGAAUUCUUUGAUUUGGGAGCCAUGAAUGUGAAGCAUCCAUAUUUUAACAGAACGAUUAAUGGCAGUGGGAUCAUCUAAGAGAACUGAGAAAAAUCUGCCCGAGUGAUGGAAAGAGAACAACUGGAUAAGAAAGGACUGUUCUGGAAGACAUGCUCCUAUGAGCAAUGGAGAGCAGAGGAGAGAGAAGGUGGGGACAGGGAGGGUUGGCCUCUCAUUCAAAAAGAUGCUGGGAAAUUGGCAGGAGUCGAGGGGAACACAAGGGAACCAGGACCUCCACCUGCUUUUGACACAAGUCAGUCUUUUCCUGGACUUUCGGUAUCGCACGGAUGAUGUCAGUCAUUUGGCUGAAAAGUUCGACUUGAGCAGUUUUAAUGUCCUGGAGCACUGCUCUAAGGUUCAUUUCUUCAUCGUAACUAACGUCAUCUUCAAUACAGUCAUCAGAUGUCUCAGUUGAAUAUCUAGCAGAAUCCUGGUGCCGAAGCUGACAUUCGUGGUAAACAUUUUUAAGAGAUUGUCUGACCUUCGAGAGAUUUGAAGUCCACAUCUGGCUAGCAGCAGCUUUUACCCUCUUGGUAUGAAGUUUGUGCAUCUUUCAUGGUGAAACACAGAAUCACAGGAAGAAAGAACGCGCGAAUGAAAUGGUCUUUCUCUUACUGUGUGUUGGGUUCCUUUCCCAGUAACAACAUACAACACUUUGUGGAAAACAGCAGCAGCAGCAGCAGCAGCAGCAGCAGCAGCAGCAGCAGCAGCAGCAGCAGACACUUCUUAUAGAGCUCCAGCUGGAGAGCUCUGUGAAAAUGGUCAACUGCAUGGAAUUCUUCAUAUGGUCCUCAGUGACCUGUCGCUGAUGUCACAAUGACUGCCGUCUUAGAACAAAUACAUUUAACUACAGAAGUUCUCAAAAGUUUGGGUCAUAGGGCUCGUUUUCAAUCAUAAAAAUUAUUGAGCAGUCUGGGCAGCAUAGAAAGACGCCCAUUGCUACAAAAAUUUUUUUAAAACUUAGCCAGCCAUGGUGGUGCACACCUGUAGUCUCAGCUCUUUGGGAGGCUGAGGUGGGAGGAUCGCUUGAGCACAGGGGGUGGAGGCUGGAGUCUGCCAUGAUGACACUACUGCAGUUCAGCCUGGGUGACAGAGCAAUACUCUAUCUCUAAAAAAACAAAAAUGAAAAAUUUUUGAGGACCACACAGAUUUUGUUUUUUUGGGUUAUAUCUACCUAUGUUUUAUAGCAGACAUUAAAACUAAGAAAGUCUUAAAUAUUUACUAAUUAAUUUAUUUAAAUUAAAAAACCCAUUACAUGUUAACAUAAGUGACUUAUUUUUAUAAAAAAUAAUUUGAUUUCCUGAAAGGAAAAAAAAUGAGAAGAGUGGCAUUGUUUUACAUAUCUGCAAAUGUUUGAAAUACCGAAUUAAUAGAACAUAACUAGAUUAUCAUUGCUUCUGCAUUAUAUCUGUUGUGAUGUAUUGUUUCAAUUGAAGUAUAUGAAGAAAAAAUAGCCUUAUGGAGAAAUGUAAAUGGAAAAUAAAGAGUAUUUUAAUAAUCUUUUCAGAUAAUUGAGGAUAUCGUUCUUUGCUACUUUAUACUUUAUGAAAAUUUGACAAAUGAUUUAAGAAGUUGGCCGCUAUGUGUCAUUUUAGGCCAAAUCAAUGAACUUGCAUACUUUGUUAUAUUAAUAGUCUCUAGUCUAUUUUUUAUUUUGAAUAGAUGCAUAAUAUAAGGUAUUGAUCAUUUGGAAAACAAUGGUUCCUGAAUCCUGAUGCCACUGAAUUAUGUAGAUCUUCUAUGUUGACUCGUAUUAUAUAUCAAAAUAUCAUAUUCAUUAAUACCUUCACCAGUCUCACCAGAAAAGUCUUUUGAGUAUUGAGAAGAGGCCAAGCUCAUGGUGGCAAAAUGCACAUUUUUCAAAAUUUUAAUUUUAGCUUGAAAAUCUUGAAAUUUAUCAAGAUGGCUUGUUUUCCUUGAAAUGACAUAUUCCAUCCAUCCAUUUUUUGCAAAAAUGCUUGCCAAAUGCCCGACUAUGAACACUAUAGUUUGUUGUCAGUCAUUUUUUUUCAAGAAAAAGUAGUGUUCCAUGAGAAAAGCAUUUGCAACUCAAAUAACGAUGUAGUUUUUCUCAUGACAAUCAGUAUGCUUUGGUAGGUUGCAGAAGCACUUAUGCUAACUCCCCAUUAUAUCAUACAUAACAUAAAAAAGACGUACUGAAGGGUUGAGAUCUAAUAAGAUUAAAAAUUCUUACUGCUUCAUCGCGCACAUUCUUGAGUGAAACUGGUUUUUCUUGUACUUUUUUCCUUUCCAGAUUGAUUCACUGUUAGUCAGUGUGGUACCUCUGCUAUGGUUCAUGCUAAGGUAUCCACAGUUUUACCCAGUAUUGCUUUUGCAGCAUAAUUUUCAACGGGCAAAUGUAACAAAAGCAGAAAAGAUAAACAGUGUCCUAGGAUUCUUUUGAAAUAUUUUUGCCCUCACAGUCACACAUACAGAGUGACCUCAUGGCACAAAGCAUACCACACUUUGAGAGCUGCUGCCUUAGAAUUUAAAAAUAACAUCAGCCAUUUCUCACAUUUCUUCUUACAGGUUUUCCUACAUAACAGUACUUGAAAUUCAAACCCUUUGAAAUAUUAAGUAAUAUUCUGUCCAUUUUAUAUAUUGAGGUAAAAACUGAAUUUUAUUCUCUAGACACAUUAGACUGAAGAUUUUGGAAUCAAAAUGACCUGAUACUCACACAUAUCUCUCAAAGAGCAAUCUCAUUCUAAUCAAAAGGAUAUUCCCUCUUGGAUUCGUGCCAGUUCCUUCUACCAAAUCACUGUUUCUUCUAUUUGUGCUGAAUUGGAGGGUCAGUGGUGGCCCAGGAUUUGGUACAAAUGCUGAGCCUAGCCGUCAGUAAUUUUAAAAUUUUGGCUCAUCAGUAAUAUCUAGGAUUUUGCUCUACAAUCCUGAGUUUCGAAUGCUGUUUAGUAGCCUUUCCAAAAUAUUUAGAAACCUUUCCUAAUACUUGCUGGGGAAAAUGUUCUCCAAGAGGCAGACUAUCACAGCAAUGGCAUUUGGGGCUUGGCAAGGGCAGAGUUCACAGCCAUCCCAUUUACUUUGGCUAAGACCAUUUUAUCCAUUGAGUUCUGCAGACACAGUGCUUGGGGCCUAUAAAGUUUUUAAGGGCCAAUGAAAACACUUAAGACCAGAAGAAAAAAACCAUGGCUCAGAAUACUGAAAGAAAGCUGCAAGACUGAAACAAUAGGUGUUUAAUGAAACGUCUCUGAAAUGUACUAUGUCAUAGUCAUUAAUUGUUAGCUUUAGUAUUAUGAAAAUUUCAUUACAUUUGGAGGCAAUUUGUCUGUUAGGUAUUCUCACUUUGCAAGGCUUCCCAAUUAAAUUAGAGGGCUUGCUCGUCAUAAUUACUCCCUCCAGGUUCGUAACAGCUAAGACUUGCUGGGUGCUUACCCGAGACUGUUCUAAAUAUUAGCUCACUUACCUGAUGUCCAGAGUAGUCAAGUAACUUUCCUAAGGUAACAGAGCUAAAAAACGGGCAGAAUCGGAUUUCAAAUGCUCACAUUCUGGCUCCAGAGUCCACGGGUUUUACUCAACUGCCCACAAUCAUUCUUAAAAUAUAUAUUUAGUACAACUCAGACAAAGAUGAACAUUUUAUUUUUAAAUUAUACCAUAUACUUAUAGAAGCUUUAUUUUACUAAAAAUUUUAUUUUAGCAUUAUGAGAACAUUAAAGAUUUUUUUUUACCAAAAGUAUUUGAAACAGAAAUUUGUGAACACUUUAGAAGUUGAACAAGCUCUAAUUUACAGCAAAAAGUGAAUAUUUUGAGGCUAUACCUUCCUUACUGUAGUAGUCAUAGUAAUAUGAUAAUUGGAAUAAAAAACAAGUUUUCAAGUUAAAAUACUCAUGUUUGCUCAUUCUUUUUAUAAAAUAAGUUAACCUAGUAGGCCGUACAAACACAAACCUUGUCUGAGUUUCUAACUACCUCCUUUGCAAUGCAAUAAAGGGAGCCUCAGCCCACCUGGGUUUGCCAGGUGGUGAAAAGUUGCAGUGGGGGGAGGUAAGCCUAUUGAUUUGGGUGAAGUUAUGAGAGCAGUUAGAAAGUUAAUGAAUAAAAGGAGAUGAGAUGACUUCCGCUCUUCGGGUUCCUGCCAGGGGUAUGGAGGCAUUUAGGAAUAAAAUACCAUGGUAGCCUGGAGCCCAGUAGGAGACUUCCUGAGUCUACCUCUUCUCCAGGAGGCGGACUUUCACAGGAAUGGUAUUUGGAGACAGAAAGUUUCAAGACUGUCCCAUGACUAUCUCUGUGCUCUCAGGCAAAUGCCUAACCUCCCACAAGUCUGUGAAAUGGAAUAGUAACAGCACCUGGUUCAGUGAUUGCUUCUGAGAAUUAAGAGGCUGGAUAGUUACACGGCCUUUCCUCCUCAUUUCUCACCACCUGUCUCUCACUUCUCUUCUAUCAAAUGAAAGCAGUAGAUGGUUAACUGUUUUCAGCUUUAGGUCUGAAAAGUGCUCUCUCAAUCCCUCACUCUGUCUUUCUCUCUCAAUAUGACCAAGACAUAGAGUGUGUAGUCCUCGCUGCUCCAUACACCCAUACAGGUAAAGCAUUUUGAUUAGAGACACACCAAAAUGCAGCAAACAAGGCUGAUAUGUAAGUAGUUUAUCUCCUAGCACGGGGUUUCCCAACCAGCUUUGGUGUCAGCAGACUGGAGUGGAAUAACCACUGGUUAGAUGGCUC